GACUUUAAAAACGAAAUAACACGUAAAAAGGCGGGCUGACGGCGAUCGCACGGCGGGCACCCGGCGGUCGCCGGAUUCUUCACGUUUUUCCUUCAUUACGCGGCGGGCGCCCGGCGGGCGCCGCCUGAUCGCCAGCCACGCCGAUUUCUCGGCGGGCUGCGCGGCGGUCGCCGGCUGCUGCACAAUUUUCCUUCUUCCGGCGGCGGUCGCCGCCCGGUCGCCGCGGGGUCGCCGCCGUUUCGCUGCUGCGCGCGACUUUCAUGUUUUGGUCAUAACUUUCGCGUCCGAACUCCGAUUUAUGAUCCGUUUACGCUCACGAACUCGUAUCGAGACAAUCUACAACUUCUA
rnacentral:lncRNA from 1 species